UCCCAUUCUUUCUCAUUAGAGGAAUCACCUAAGGGCAGAUCAUCUUGCUGUUAGUUUUGCUUUGGCCCAGAGUCUUUCCUCUGCAAAACAGGAAAAACCCUUUACAAGAAUUUAAGAAUUCCUCAUUCAUCAGCUACUUGCCAAAAAACUACUAAGCAAAGAAAAAGGCAGUUAAAGUAGAGAGGCACGGCUACUAGAAAUAAGUAGAGUCCUGGAACAAGAGCCAGUAAGAAAGAAUCCUUCCACCCUAAAAGACUCGCCAUUGAGAAGACUACCUGAGGGACAGAUAGUAACAAGGGAAUCUCAGUAGAUACACUGAGUCAGUGAGAAA